rnacentral:rRNA from 1 species
CGGGAACAGCUCAAAUUUGAAAUCUGGCCCUUGGGUCCGAGUUGUAAUUUGCAGAGGAUGCUUUUGGUGCGGUGCCUUCCGAGUUCCCUGGAACGGGACGCCUUAGAGGGUGAGAGCCCCGUACGGUUGGACACCAAGCCUAUGUAAAGCUCCUUCGAC